rnacentral:snoRNA from 1 species
AACCUAUGGUGAGGGCACCUCCUCAAUGAAUCCUUAUACCUCUCACAUGCAUCAUAUAACAUCUCUAAAUCGAUCUACUCAAAGGAAAAGAUGUCGUUCCUCAACUU